GCACCUUCUUCUUCCUUGGGUCGCCGGACUGGUUUUUCCGGCGGCCGUUUUCCGGGCAGUUUUUCAAAUUGCCAUAACUUUGUCAUUUCUCAACGAAAUCAAGUGAUUCAAAAACGAAAGUUGUAGCCCUUGAAGAUACAAAGAGAAUGGUACCUUGCACAACACCUAAUUCGCCGUGGUUUGGCCGGCAACUGCCUCGAAAGCCUCGGAGGUCGCCGGAAACUGGGUAUUUUUCAAAUGAGUAUAACUUCUUCAAUACUCAACGAAAUUGAGUGAAACAAAAAGGAAAGUUGUAGUACUUGACGAGACGAAGAGAUUGAUACCUACCUCGACUCCUAACUCUCCGGGGAUUCGCCGGAAAACGCCUCGAAAGCUCCGGCCAAACUUUGAACUUGUCGAUCUCCGUGUUCUUACGUCCAAAAACUUCCAACGAAGCACUCCGAGCUUCCUUGGGACCUUACUAAACUCGCUGUUAUCUUGUUUUAGCCUAAAACGUAACCAAUUCAAAGCUCAUGAACAGUGUCAUCUCACGGCAACUUUAGAACUAGGGUUUUCGAAGUGAAACUCACCUGAAAUUGGUGUCUACGUGAUCGUGGAAGUUCCAGGAGUCCAAAUGUGGUCUUAUCUUGGACGUUUGUUUAUGUUUUAGGUGGUUUUGGGUGAGGUUGAGCGUCGGAGAGGAAGAGAGAGGACUGAGAGUGAGAGAGAGUCGUGAGGGAAGAGAGAUAGAGAGACAAGGUACGGGAAUUGGGGAAGGUUUUGAGGGAUGUGGGGAUCCCACGUGUCCAACUCAAUCCAAAUUGUUAAAUUUUCGCCCCUUAGUCCCGUUUAAGGGCAUUUUCGUCUUUUCAUGUCCUCGAAAUUAAAAUUCCGGGACGGGCUGUGACAAUCUUCCCUCCUUAUAGAAUUUCGUCCCCGAAAUUCCAGCAACCAACUAAAUCAACCAUACUCCAACAAUAGCUUCGGGUAAAUCUUUCUCAUCCGAUUCUCUUUCUCCCACAUACUUUUUCUACUGAAUGAUUUCCUUCACAAAGCUUUUACUACUUACUCUGUCUUAAUUCUUAGGACCUUCUUUUUCAAUCCAAUCCAAAGUCGACAUUUAGUUCCUCACCAAUCAGAUCCGGCUUAAUUCUCAAUAGUUGCACCAAAGUCCCAUGUAACGACUCUGCCACUUAGUGACAACGCAUCGAACACAAAAUACAUUAUGUGCCUUAGCCAAUUCUGAAGGCAUCACAAACUUGUAUGGAACUUUAUUGAUUCCUUUAGUGAAAAAAAAAAAAAAAAUGGUCUGAUGUGUCUAAAUCUUAUCUUGUCUCUUUCCAAUUCUCGUCAUUUCUGUUCGCGGUGAAUUUUCCAAAAAUAUCAAAACCAUUUACCUUACACACUCGAUUAGUGGCAUAUCCAUCUGUUGAUCUCUUUUGCCAUUCCUGGUUACUUCAGGUUAACUUAAUCACCUGAAUACUUUGAGGAAACUCAUCCAUAGUCUCAGGGUCUAUUAAAACUCUUUCUUGAUCGAAUCCUUCUCUACCCAGAAACAUUCCAUUCACAAGUCAUCAAAAACCGACUCACAUGACACAUUUCAUGAUCCUUAUGGCGUUACUUCGGAAACUGCACAACCAACAUACUUAAGAAACUCAACAGUUCCGUAAACUAAUUCUCUUUUCCAUAAAACAAAUAAGUAAUGUUGCACUGUCUGGGAAAGGUUGUUACUCAACACUGGAGUAAAUGUACUAACUUGUUACUUAACAAGUAUAACUUCUUCUCGAUCUUCCAUUCUUAAUUUUUCUUCCGUUGGUUUUCAAUCCACAAGAUGAUACUCUUGGCAAACGUGCCAGACAUUAAUCUUACUGUAGUCUUCUCACCAAGUGCUUGAGCUAGAACAAACUUUACGAUCACCCUGAUCGUACAAUCAUGUUCAUUAAGCAAUACAAUUCACUUUCGCUGCCUCAUAUCAAAAUCCUUCCAAGUAAUGGAUAUUGAAGACUUUUUGGAUUCGUAAAAAUCUUGCAUUCUUACCAAAUAUAAUGCCUUCAUAACUUCACAGCAAGAAUGGUAAUCAUGACUUCCAAGUCACCCGUAGGGUAAUUCAUCUUAUGAGAUUCCAUUUAUCGUGAAACGUAUGCAAUCACCCUAACAUUUGCAUCAACAUGCAUCCAAUACCAUUCAAGAAACAUCACUAAAAAUUUAUGAUUACCACUAUUCUCUGGGAAUACCAAAAUACGUGCAUGAGUGAGGAAAUACUUCAGUUGUUGAAUCCUUUGCUCACAAUUUCCUUCCCACUCAUACAUAACCUCUUUUCUCAACAGUUCUCGUCAAUGACAAAGCAAUGACUGAAAAAUCUUUCACAACCAUCCAAGAUAGCCUGGUAAGCUAAGAAAUUCCGAAUCUCAAUUACAGUUCGUGGUUGUUCCAAUUCCUCAAUUUCUGCUAUCUUUUAAGGAUUCACUUGAAUACCUUAAGAAUAUAUAACAAAUCUCAGAAUGCCACCUGAUUCAUCUAACUUUAGCAUUUGCUACUUAGCAUACAACCGACAUUCUUCCAAUCUUUGUUCCACCGACUUAAUACAUUUACAUGCUCUGCUCUGGCUCAGAAUAUGCCAGAAUAUCUUCAAUGAAAAUGAUAUCUAUUUAUCAAGGCAUUAUUGGAAUACUUCAUCCAAUAACUCAUAAAACAGCAUGAGUAUCCAUAUAGCAUCACCAUAGUUCAUAAAACCAAUCUUAAGAACAACGUCGCUCAUAAUCUUUUAAUUGGUAAUAACCAGACCUCAAUUCAAUCUUUGAAUCUUCGCAAUUACUUCUGAGCUGGUUAAAUAAACAUCAGUACAUCACCAUGGAUAACGGUUCUCAAUCGUUACCCGACUCCAUUGUCUAUAAUCAAUGAACAGUCUCAAGAUCCAUUUUCUUCCUCACCAACAAACUGGGGCUCCUCAAAAGUGUUGUACUAGGUUGAAUGAAACUUUUAUCAACCAAUUCUUUCAACUGAAUUUCCAAUUCCCUUAACUCAUCCUGAACCAAUCUCCAAUAUAAAUUUAUACCUGGCAACAAAUCAAUAAUGAACCUCAUAUCUCUGCCUGAAGGCAAUCCAGGUAUACUUUCAAGGAAGACAUCAAGAAAAGUCUAACUCUUUCGACAUUAUUCACACUACUCCAAACAACAUCAUUUAGCACCACAUGAGCUAAGUAUUUUUGACAGCCUUUCGAAAACAAUCUCUUUGCUCUCACAGCAUAAAUAACAGGCCUGACUCAAUCCAUUUUGCAUACUUACAAAAGUAAUCUCUGUUCAUCCAGAUCGAUGGAAAGUACUGGUUUUCCAUAACAUUUCGUCUUGUCACAAUUAUAACCAACCAAUCUAAUGGAACAGAAUUAACUGAUACAAUAUAUAUUCUAUUAUUAUUAAGCAUUCCAAAUAAGUACAAUACUAACAUAAAUAAUCUACCGGGUUGCUUGCUUAACGAAUCCACGAAUGAGUUAUUAAUAUUACGGUCUGCAGCCCGCAAUACUGAUAAAUCAUCGUUGUCUCGAUAAGUAGGCAACCACUCUCAAAGAUAUAACAUUACUAUUUUGUCACUCAAUGCAAAAUACAUACACUCAUCUCAACUACAUUUAUUUACUACUCUCAAGGUAAUAACAUACAUAAUAAGAAAUAUAUCAGCCGAAGUCAACUAGAAUGACCAAUACGGCUGAUUCAACUCUUAUCUCAAUAAUACGUCGGCCGGAUCCACUCCGCGGGUCGGUACGGCCGAGCCUAUAACUCACUAAUUUCUCAUGUGUCAAUCGAAUCCACUUCUCAUGGUCUGUACAGCUGAACAUAUAACUCAUCAAAUCUCUCUGUACUCACGGUCAAUCCGACCAAACUACUAAGUCCAUAACUCUGCUGAAUCGACACUAUGAUAUCAUGGAAAAUUAUUGAGUACAACUGAUUCUAGGGACGAUCACAAUUCUGUGUCCCUCUGUUCACAUAAACACAUUCAUUAAUUUCACAUUUCCCAAAGUGUUAAUUUUGUACCUGCUGCACAAGGUACAUUUCCUUUACUCGAGACACCUUGUCUCAAAUAUCUGGGAUUACCAGUAUAUCCAUCACUUUUACUCUGACCAGCGACAUUAAAACCUCAGCUGGAAGAAUUAACUCUACUUCACUUCUUUCGAAGCUCUGAAUCUUUCUAUAUCCUUGAUAUGACGAAUCAUUAACUUUAUCGUCAACUUCCUUGAUUCACAUUUGCAAACUCUUGCUUACUACCAUCGAUAAAUGCCGGAGGGAUAAACUUUUCCUUAAACAAGUCCUUAAAUAAUUCUCAAUCAGCUGUUUCCUCCGGUGACAACAAUCUAACAUCCUGUUUCCACCAGGAUACAAAUUCAUACCCAAAACCAGGUAGUCGUCUCGACCCCCUGUCAGAAGGAAGAUUCCUUUGACUUGCAUAAUCUGAAACAUCUUUUCCAAAUGGUUAAACCGUUACUUCGUUCCCUCAGGUUCAUCAUUUCUCUUAAGUGAUUCAAAUUCAACUCAUUACCAUCUUAAAAUGUCCAUUUUGAUAAUAUACUGAAUCACCAUAAUAAUAGUUUCCCCAAACCCGCUAAAUCAGGGAGACUAAGUUCCUCUAACUACAUGGUUUGCUACGAGGCGGUGUAGUUCUGACAGAAUUCACUAGAACUUCUCAAAAUGUCCAAAAAUUCCAACCAUGCUCUGAUACCAACUGACACACCCCGUCUCGAAGGAGGGCAUGCUGGCCGUCACGUGAGAGUGACGUAACCAUUUGCACAGUACGAAAGCUUUAAUUAUACAAUUUAUAAGUUGAUACACCCUAAGGUGAGUCCUAAUUUUGUCCAAUCUGUCAGAACCCCGCUGUAUUCCUCGUAGUCACCACACCUUUGUGAUUCCUGAACCUGGAGGGGCGCAAACCAAAAUUGAGUGGGUCAGUAAAACAAUUCUUUUCCAAAUCCAAACAUUUCUCAAAACGUUGUAACCCCUCUCCGUAAAACUGUAUACUUUCCCAGAAAUGUAAAAUAUAAAUAUACAUAUAUAUUCUCAAGACUUCAAGUCGUUAACUCAACAUUUUCAUAACAAUUAUGCCAUGCCACAUCAUCUCAACAUUUCUCAUAUUAAUUAUGCCAUGCCACAUCAUCUCAACAAUAAUAAGGUAUGAAUGCAUCAACAUAAUCAUAUCAGGUGCAAGAAAGUAAUCAACCGUAGGCCCUCUAAUAGCCCUGUACGGUUGAACCUAGAGCUCAAAAUCUAUCACUAUCACUCUACCGGAGUCACCUCUGUGACCUGUCCGGCCUUCUGCACACAAGUUACGCUCUAGUGCUUCUCAUAAAUCAUCUGUGCACAUAAUCUAAGGUCACCCACCAGUCGGAAUCUCACUAACACUCUCGCGACUGGCCUGUCGUACCCACUCCGCGUGGACUGUACGACUAGCAUUACUUGGAUCCAAGGCGAGCGUGCGAUGCGGUGAAUCUAUAAGCACUAACCAUGGUGCAGGAUUUGAGCUCAAUUAUAUAUCAUCAUCAUAAACAGUAUUAAAUACUCACCUGUGCGUCCCACCGCACCAUUUCAUACAUAUGCAUCAUAAAUCAUUCUUACCUGUGCGUUCCGCACCAAUUCUACAUAGCAUCAUUAUUAAUUCAUGCAUGGCAUUUCAACUCACAUUUCUAUUACUUUCAUAUCAAUUCUAUGCAUGGUAUUUCACUUCCCGUUUUUUCCACAUAACUCAUAUGCAUUCAUUUUAAACAUAUUUUCAUUUCCAUUCAAUUUCUGGGAAACGUUCAAGUAUAUAUAUAUAUACGGAAAACAAAACUGCCCACUCACCUGGAGUUUCGCCCUACAACUCCUAGCACAUACGCCAAGGUCAUGACGAUCGGCGCCUAAAACAUAAUCAAUUCCAUCAGAAUUCAUAUCGAUAGAAUAUAUAACUUAUAUAAAAUACUCAACGUAGAUUGAUCGGAAGAUCCACCCCUCAGAUUUUAAUCCAUAACUUCAGAGGUCACAUUAUACCUCUAGGACAUCAAAUUUCAUUACCAUCCAACGGUCGGAUCUCCGUCAAUUCACAUUUCACCUAAAUGUGAAAUUAUAAAACGUUAUUUGAACACCUAACCACAAUCCUCAUAACUUUCUCUUAUACGGUGUUCAAUUUAGGUAUAUGAAUAUACCAUAGUGAUCUACUCGACGUCACGGACGUCGACAUAUUUUUUAAAAUAAUUUUAUUUAUUUUUUUUUUCUGUGCACCUUCUUCUUCCUUGGGCGCCGGACUGGUUUUUCCGGCGGCCGUUCCGGCAGUUUUUUCAAAUUGCCAAACUUUGUCAUUCUCAACGAAAUCAAGUGAUUCAAAAAGAAAGUUGUAGCCCUUGAAGAUACAAGAGAAGUACCUUCCACACCUAAUUCGCCGUGGUUUGGCCGGCAACUGCCUCGAAAGCCUCGGAGGUCGCCGGAAACUGGGUAUUUUUCAAAUGAGU
rnacentral:lncRNA from 1 species